ACCACUGUGUGUGGGCAUAGCCCACUGAAAUCUACAUGUAAAGAAUCUCUACAAAUUAUUUCAUUUCACAGUCAGGGGUAGGAACUGUCUCUUGACUCUAAAGCUUUGUCGCUCUUCUUAAAAUCGACAGUGAGGAAUGAAGACUGUUUUCUUUUGAGAUGCAAUGUCUAGAUUGACCUUUUCCUUUUUCUUUUGUUUUCUUUCAGUUGAUGGCCCUAAAAUGGAAAACUUAGCUGAAAUGAAGAGAUUAUGAAUCUUUCCAAAGUAGGGUAGCCUGGGCAUAAAAUAGAAAUAAGGAACAGUACAAUUGACCACUAGUGGUGACUCAAAUAAAUUAUGAAGAACUGGGAGAGCUUAUCACUGCCAGCCUCCAUAGGAUGUUGGAAAUAUCUGGCACAUGGAAAAGGGAAACUGGCGGCUGAGGCUCCUGGGGAUCGUGACUGGUUCUGGACAUGACUGGCUGUGGCAGAACUGAGUGGCACUCAGUGGAUUUUAGCAAAGCAUCAGAAUCCUCUGGGGAGUUCUUGCAAACUGCACAGGCUGCAGAUCACAACCUGUCCUUGGGUGCAUUUUCUGAUCAGAACCUGAAGUGACAAUACUGUGUGCUGCUGAUCAAAGGAAGUGUCACAUGCACAGAGGAUGCAUUGGCUGGAGAAGACACUGAGUGGAGGAAAUUCCACUUUGUAUUUUGCUCAGGCUGAAAGGAGGAAUACAAGGCUUUCUGCUGACAUCUUUGCAUAUUUUCAGUGCAUUUGACCUUGGAAGUACCUGAAGAAUGAUGACUGCAUCUUCAGUAGUGGAGAUUAUUUAUAGGACUCAGAAGCAAGAGGUCACAGAGAACAUACUUUCCCUACUUUCAUUCUUGCAAAAGCUACACCUUUAUUUAUAAUACUGUAAUGAGUUUUUCAUACCAACAGACAAAAGAUUUCUAACACUUCCUGGAACUUCAAAAACAGAAAAAGAACAAAUCAACCAAAUUUCUUUUGUUACCCCAGUAUUGAACAAAACCAGUCUUAAAGAAUAAUUGGUGAAUAAACCAAUAUUAGUGCCACUAUCUUUUAUCUCCUUCACAUCCAGACUAACCCUAUAGAAUUCUUGGAACACACAAAAAGUUACUUGAAAAGAUAAAUCUGCUUUGGAAAACAUUAGUGUUUUAAAGAGAGGUGGCAUUUAUGGAAGUACCAUAUGGACAUCUAUCACUAUAAGUCAUGAUAAUUGUCAGUGAGCAUGUCAUAAUGGUUAAAUAACUUCAUCCAUGGUUUUAUUCUUGAGGUCUGCCUUUGUCCUCCCACCUGAUA